rnacentral:misc_RNA from 1 species
CCGGCGAUGCCGGUUUUUCCCUACAGUACUUAUUACGCGUUCACUAUUUCUGAUGUAACAUAAAUAUUGGUUGUCAAGAAAAAGGGACGAUGAGCAACGAGUUCAUCGAGAUCGACCAGGUCGAAUGGGAAAAGGUUGCUCGGAGAGUAUUUUACGACUGUCUCGCAUCGUCGUCCUCGUCGUCGUUUUCAUCGCUUUCGCCAUUGUCGUCGAGGACCAGCAAUGUUACGGUCAAAACCCUCGUUGAUUAUAUUGAAAGAAUCGCUACCGGCAAAUAUAGAGAUAAACAUCUUCUCGAUGAGCUGCAAAAGUCAAUCGCGGAAUGCUCGGGUGACGGUUGGGUGAAUUAUGCUUUGUUCAAAAAAGCGUCCAAGCGUUGGGUCACAAAGAUACAGCAGCGUCGCGUGCAAGAUGGAAAUAAUAAUGUGACCAAGGACGAUUCAAGGUCCGACGACGAGAAACAACACUCUGCCGACUCGAGCGACAACGAACGAGAUUUCGAGAUUUUGUUUGGGGAACGCCGCAGGAAGAACAAAGCCUCACGGAAGUCAGUCACAGUCGAUUUCGUCGAUCUUCUAAAUGUGUCGAGUUACAGUCCGAGCAGCGACACGACACACGGGUGCGCGAUGUCCGACACAGCCCCCGAGUCUCCCGACGAGGCCGACAGCGGCUGUGGCGUCGCCGUUGGCAUCGGCGAUGUACCGGCGCUUGAUUUACGAAUGCGAAUCCGGAGAUUCGACGAAGAGAAUUCCAUGCUCAGGGAAGAUCUCGUCAGAGCUGAAGAACUCUCGGCUGGGCUACAGCGACAGCUCGAAAACCUACGAAAAAAGUUCGAUCAGACGAAAGAAAAAUGUCGCCAGUUAGAACGCGAGAACGACGAGCAGCAAGAGUUACUGCACGAGGCGGAGGAAAAGGAGCGGGACUGUCGAUGGGCCUUGCAGAAAAUGGAAAAAGAGAAAAAUUCACUCGCGAGAAAACUCGACGAUGCGGAGGCAGAAAAACAACAAAUAGCUUUGUUGGACUCACACUUGGAGAGACUAAAAAAAGAAAAAUAUGACUGCAUUAGAGAACUGACCUUGUGCAGACAAGAACUUGAGGAUAAACAGAGAGAGUGCGAACUGUUGAGAGACCAGCUUGCCCAGAUAAGCGAAGUGAACAAAAGUUUACAAGAAUCUUACGAGAAAAGUAUUCAGUGCUUACGGGAUAAGGUUCAAGAAUUAAAAAACGAAAAAUUCGUUUUUUGCACACCAGACACUGUCGGAAGUCCUUCCGAUGGAAAUGGUCCGGCUACACCAAUUGGAUUUCUGUACUCUCGCACGCCGAGUCUUUCCUGCAACGAUGACGCGCUGCACGAUUCCUUGUUCGAGGAAUUAAAAGCUUCUGGAUUUUCGGCGUCUAAUGAGUCCAGAGUUCGCGAGCUUGAGGACGAGUUAUCUUGGUACGAGGCGAACAUCGGUCAAGCCCUGACUGAAAUAAACAAGGUGAUGCAGAAAUUUUCUCAUGAUAUACCAAAAUCCCAAGAUCCCGACGCCAGAGUUAACGAUACGGAUGAAGAACAAGGUCCCGAAGUGUCAUCGCUCUUGAGGAAAAUUUCGGAGUUAUCGAAUGCGGUGAACGAGAUCGUACGGAAGCCCGAGGUGAAGGACGCGAGUUCACAGGCGUCUACCGAUUCGAGCUACACGAAUCAACGACUAUCCAGUCAAUUGGGAAUUCGUUGCUUUCAGGACGAGUUCAAUUCUAUACGUGAAAAAAGGGAGCGUCAAUCAGAGAAACAAGAGAAUUGGAGUUUUCAACGCGUCAAGGACACUUUUGCGGGAGCUUUCUCGAUGAAUACGCACUCCCUCGGCGACUGCGGGGACGUCGAAGAAGCCGAAAUUGCAUGUGAAGCCGUCAAAUCUGAUAACGAUCGCUUCUCAACUUCCUGCUCCAUGUCGACUGGCCUCGGGAUUCAAGAGCACACCAUUAUCGAACCCAUCGUUCAAGAACUCGAGAGAAUAAUUCAGUGCACGAACGAACGCGAGGAAAAAAACACGGCUCAUACCUCGCCUUCUAAAAACCCCAGGUCCAGAUGCAUCUAUACGACGGUCGACAAUUCUGCAGCAGACUUGAAUUUAAACCCUCCGAAGAAUCUGCAGCCCGAUUUUGCAUCGACUUACGUUAUUUCGUCGGGAGGUGGAGACGGAUUGUUACGAGGAAUGAUAAAUAAUACAACGUUGAACGACGAUUUUACGGUAGAGCCGAUCGCUCAACUGGUCAAGACAUUAUCACUGUCGGAGGAUUCAAGUAAAUUAGGUGCUAGUUCGUUAACGGAAUCAAUGAUAAAAUCGAACACUUUGGAGAGUGAAAAAAUCAGCAAGACUGAAGCGAUACCCGAGGAGAGGAACGAUUCAGAUUUCAUCGGUACGGAAUCUGGCGGAGCAGCGGUCGAAAAGCCAUUGGAAAAAAAAGUAGACAAACCGAAUGGUAACAUCGUAGAUUAUUGUGAGACGCCAAUUAAUAUAAAUUUGCGGAAUAGACCGAAACGAAAAAUUUCCGUGUUUGAUCGUUCUUUCGACAUAGAUACGCUGAACGACGAGACCGAACCAGGAGUUUGUUCCAACACUUACAGACUGACCGAGCGUUUGAUGAGUGCACCGUCCGAGCAAGAAAAGAGCUUGGACGAAGAAUCGUUUGAUUCAGAAAGUAUGAAAAACUCUCAGAGUAGUAAAAACUUUUUAUUCAGUUAUCGUGAAAAAAACGAUGAGAGCGAUUCCUCGGAUAACGUUUCACCGAGCAAGGGCCACGAUUGUUUUGAUUCCCUGACAGAAAUCGAAACUCCGAAUCGAUCGAGUCAGCGGCCUGUUAUCGCUCCAACUAAAUUGAAGCUUCCCUCCGUCAUGGAAAUACCACCAUACGCUCCAGUCGCAACAUCAACGAAAUUCAACGACGAGGCUAAGAACUCGAAUAAUUAUGAAAAGAGACAAAUUUACGAGAAAAAUCAUUUUCCCUCGGACGUGAGCUCCAUCUCGAAGGACAUGAACAGCUUUGCCAACGAUUUCACACGACCGUCUAACCGAGAUAUUGGGAAAGGAGUGACUUAUCGCAAAUCACCUUCUUCCCGACAACUUAAUUUUUCUAACUUUCCAGUUCUAUCACGAAACGACGAUACUGACUCGACCAAUCAAAUGGCUCAAGAAGAAUCGGUCGAUCUUUCGAAAAGCGUUUCUCUCCCCGAUGUCGAAUCAACUUGCAACGAUUUCACGUCAAAAAUUCCUGCUGCUCAACCCAAUGCGAAACCUCCCCUCUCGUUGACAUACAACAAGCCACAGACUGACGUCCAAACUACUCAUGCACGCGAUCCUUCAAAGCCCGGAGGUUUGUGGUACGGUCACGUCGAGGAAGCCGUUUGCGGAUACGAAACGAGGGACGACAACGAGAGGAACGCUGCGAGUUACGGAGGCGGCGUUACUGGGUCGGCGUGUAUCCGUCGCGAGGGUAAAGACGAAAAAGCAAAUGUCUCACCGGCGGCAGUAGCGCUCGCGAUGUCAAGCGGCGAGGAUAGCUCGGACAGUGAGUGCGGUCCAAUGGCGAUACGAGAAAACGAUAACGCACAUUGUAACGUUGGGAACGAGACUCGCUCGAUAUCACCGACCGUUUUGAAUUUUGUUGGCGGCGCGUUACUCGGUACCUCAACACCGGCUUCGAUAAAUAACAACAAUGAAAAUUGCAACAAUAACAAUGUGAAGAAACUCGAUGACAUUCCGGAUCAUCAGACGAAAAAGUCAAUCGUCCCUAAACGAGAAAAGCGUGAGAAACCGCACACCAUUCGCAGAUCUUUAUCGGACAGCGGAUGUGGGCGUUCCGAAUGUCGCUGCCGCUUGACCAACGUUGUUUCAUCUCAAGAAGAAUUUAAUAAAGAAGAAAAUCGUCCCGCUGUUUUCCCGAGUCUCACUGAUGCAAGACUUCAAGAGUCUGGCAUUGCCAAGCUCCCGAACAACGAUGAACUUCGAGAAAAUCUUCCCGAGGCUGAACUCGAGCGAAAAUUCAUCGCUCUUUCGGUGGGUCUGGUCACUGAUCGGGUAACGUUACAUCGACGAGUAGCACUCUCUAUUCGCCAGAGGGAUCAAUCGGAGAGGAAUCUUAGCUGUGAGAUUCAGAAAAUGCAUCAGGAUAUACAGGAUCUAGCGCCACUGUGCAUCGAUCGAGAAUCUGUCGAGAGAGUCGAACGUGUCAGACAUCAGCUCGAGAUGAUAAACCAGUGCGCUCACAGAGUUUCCUGCACAGCCGAGACUCUCGGCGCGGUACAUCAGGAAAACAGAAUCUCCAGGGCGGUUCUACUCGCCGAUCGUUAUCUCCUCGUUCUGAGAUCCAGAUGUGAGAAAUUGGCUCAUGACCUCUCUGAGACCAAGCGUAUCCUGACGGAAAAUAACAUCGUUGUUGAGGAUCAUAGCGGGGAGCUCGGUGAUGAUAUGCCACGAACCCGGUAUCGGGGAGUCCCCAUCACUAAUCAUGGCUAGGAGAAGAGCUAGCAUAGCAACGAUAUUUCGACCGUUGGGCAACUUUCAGGAUGGCACAAAGGACGGCUUGAGGCAACGAAAUUCCGUAUCAGGAAGAGUUACCCUCAGAAGACCCUCGCUGAGUGCCGAAGUU